rnacentral:misc_RNA from 1 species
UCCGGUUUGGCACCGGCGGUCAGAAACAUGUCAAACCCAGGUAAGGUUCUUCGCGUUGCGUCGAAUUAAACCACAUGCUCCGCUGCUUGUGCGGGCCCCCGUCAAUUCCUUUGAGUUUUAGCCUUGCGGCCGUACUCCCCAGGCGGGGCACUUAAUGCGUUAGCUCCGGCACGGGAGGAGUCGACACCUCCCACACCUAGUGCCCAUCGUUUACGGCGUGGACUAC